CUACUCCCCUCUCCUCCCAACCCGCCCUUCUCCCCUCUCCUCCCCUCUCUUGCGCCCGCGACCAUUUAAAGGAUUCCGAGCGGUCAUGGGCAGAACUGCAUCGCUAGGGUCCAGGACCGAGGGUAGUGGAGAGCAGUCAAAGCCGCUCCCUUCAAUUUAGCUACGGUCUUUGUACCAAGAUCGUCAGUAUUGCUGUCUACGGUCCCUUUAUACCAGGCCGGGACCCUGUUGCCGAGUUAGACCGGUAGGCACCCGCCCCCCUCCCUGCUUUUCAGGCGGGCGGGGCUGAGCACUGGCAGAGGCCCCGCCCUGGGUGUUCCUAAGGCUGGCACUGUAGCGGAGGUGGGGGGGGGGCGGAUGAUGUAGCUAAACGCUAGCCAAUGGUUUUGCGCGGCCUGUGUUGCCUGGGCGACCACGGCCCCGCCCCCUCGCUGCCUGGGUCCUCCCUCCCUGCCUGACACUGUAAGAAGUUGCAGCCCUUUCUUAAUCCCGCACACUUCUCAGCACGGCCUCUGGUGGUCCCCCGUGGAAUCCCUCUGGCACUCCAUUCUUCGUCUCAGGAUGGCCCCUCUGCUGCUGGAAGCUUUUCAUGGCUUCCCACAGCCUUGAAAAUUCCAGAUUCCUUAAGCUUUUGCCUCAAAGCCCUUCACGAUCUGGCCUGUGAGCCUCUCCCCCACGCUAGAGACAUCACUUUCAGUUUUUCUAAAACUUUCACUUUCAGUUUUUCUAAAAUGGCUCCAGUCUUCCCUCAGCACGAAUUAAGGGAUUUUGUCCGCUUUCUUCGCUGCUUUAUCUUCAGUACCAGCAACAUGACAGUUCCAUAGCACGCACUCAAAAAUGAGAAUGGGUGACUGGGGUUGUGGCUUAGUGGUAGAGUGCUUGCCGCGCAUGCGUGAGGCACUGGGUUCCAUCCCCGGCACCACAUAAAAAUAAAAACAAGUUAAAUAAAGGCAUUGUAUCCACCUACAACUUAAAAUUAAAAAAGAGAAAGAGAGGGCUGGGGUUGUGGCUCAGCGGUAGAGCUCUCACCUAGCAUGCGUGAGGCCCUGGGUUCGAUCCUCAGCGCCAGUAAAUAAAAUAAAAUAAAGGUACUGUGUCCAACUACAACUAAAA
rnacentral:lncRNA from 1 species